CAGCCGCCGCGGGAAUACGAAGGGUGCAAGCGUUAAUCGGAAUUACUGGGCGUAAAGCGUGCGUAGGCGGUUUGUUAAGUCUGUUGUGAAAUCCCCGGGCUCAACCUGGGAAUGGCAAUGGAUACUGGUAAGCUAGAGUGUGUCAGAGGAUGGUGGAAUUCCCGGUGUAGCAGUGAAAUGCGUAGAGAUCGGAAGGAACAUCUGUGGCGAAGGCGACUAUCUGGGCCAACACUGACACUGAGGCACGAAAGCGUGGGGAGCAAACAGGAUUAGAUACCCCGGUAGUCCCUGUCUCUUAUAC
rnacentral:rRNA from 1 species